rfam:Drosophila melanogaster chromosome X.
UUCGUGUUUCGGAAAACGCAUUAAAAGGCGUAAUUUUAAAUCGUUUUCCGAAAUGGGAA